CGUCGGUCCCCUCGCAACACGAAACUGUGAACCCGGUCAGGCCCGGAAGGGAGCAGCCGCAGCAGUGGAUGUGUGUGCCGGGGUGUGGCUGGCGUGG
rnacentral:SRP_RNA from 1 species